ACGGUCUUGCUGUCACUUAUANAUGGACCCGCGCCGUAUUAGCUAGUUGGUGAGGUAACGGCUCACCAAGGCANCGAUACAGUAGCCGACCUGAGAGGUGUGAUCGGCCACACUGGAACUGAGACACGGUACCAGACUCCUACGGGAGGCAGCAGUAGGGAAUCUUCCGCAAUGGGCGAAAGCCUGACGGAGCAACAGCCGCGUGAUGUGAUGAAGGUCUUCGGAGUCGUAAAGCUCUGUUNUU
rnacentral:rRNA from 1 species